GACGAACGCUGGCGGCGUGCCUAAUACAUGCAAGUAGAACGCUGAAGAGAGGAGCUUGCUCUUCUUGGAUGAGUUGCGAACGGGUGAGUAACGCGUAGGUAACCUGCCUUGUAGCGGGGGAUAACUAUUGGAAACGAUAGCUAAUACCGCAUAACAAUGGAUGACACAUGUCAUUUAUUUGAAAGGGGCAAUUGCUCCACUACAAGAUGGACCUGCGUUGUAUUAGCUAGUAGGUGAGGUAAUGGCUCACCUAGGCGACGAUACAUAGCCGACCUGAGAGGGUGAUCGGCCACGCUGGGACGGGGACACGGCCCAGACUCCUACGGGAGGGAGCAGUAGGGAAUCUUCGGCAAUGGGGGCAACCCUGACCGAGCAACGCCGCGUGAGUGAAGAAGGUUUUCGGAUCGUAAAGCUCUGUUGUAAGUCAAGAACGGGUGUGAGAGUGGAAAGUUCACACUGUGACGGUAGCUGAACAGAAAGGGACGGCUAACUACGUG
rnacentral:rRNA from 1 species